rnacentral:siRNA from 1 species
UAGGUCUUGGUUUCAUAGG